GCUCCUGCCUUCCCUGUGCUGCUGGGGCUGGGAGAGCCCUGCUGGGGCCUGAGAGACAGGAGCUGGACUGGAAGCCAGGAGCAGGGGAGGGUUUCUUGUCCAUGACCCUCACUCCUCAGUGCAGGGGUUUGUGCUCUGCUCUGCAGGUGGCACUGCACUGUUGGGGCCCUUCACGGUUGACAUCCCAGCCCCUACCCGGGCACUGUUAAACUGGGAGUGGAGAACAAAGACACAGCAGUCGGGUGCAGAUGCAGACGCUCCCAUUCGCAGCCGCCGUUGGGAAGGGUCAGGCAAUUCCUGCUGUUCUGUUGUCCAGGAGCUGACCCCGUGAGGGACUUGGGAUGCAGAACCAAGAGGACAAGUGAAAACCGGAGGCUCUGCUCUGCGUGUCAGGGGGGUGUCAAUGUGAGUGCUGUGCCUGCGGCCUCAGGGGCUUGUGCAUCCUCUUGGCUCAGCUCUGUAGGUGUGUGUUGGUGCAGAGCACUUGUGGAAUGCUGGGUGAAACAGAUUCCCUGUUGCAGGCUAACAUGAAAAGGGAAUUCUUCUUUCAGGCCUAGCCUCAAGUAAUCCUCAAAGCCUUGACAUCCUCCACUGAAAGGUUGACUUGGACGUCAGCGCAUCUUUGCUUCAUUCGUGGCUGCUCAGAGCCAUCCUGCCACUAGAGGCCAGUUGAGGAGAGCAGGGUACCUCUGAUACCUGUACCUGCAGCAUCCCAUGUAGCCAAGGCUCUGUCCUCUGGUGUCCCAUCUCUCCCCGUCCCUUGUGUCCAUGCCCUCCUCUGGCACUGCCGCCACGUGAAGCAACAGCCAUGGCUCUGCCGGUGCUGGCGCAGUGGGCUGUGAGGCAGCAAUGACACAUUGCUGGCAGGGAACAGGCAUGCGUGUCCCUACCCUGCCCAGCUGCAGCCUGGGCUAAAGAAGGCUGAGGCUGCCUGUGGUGGUGAGGAUAAUGGAGUGUGUCCUAUGGCAAUGUGGCCUCCUGCCUGCGGCUGUGGUGUCUGGUGAGCACGGCCGGGAAGCAGUCGGGAGGAGGAUGAGAAGGGCCAGGGUGAGGUGAGGUGAGGCUGGCAGCAGGAGUGGAAAU
rnacentral:lncRNA from 14 species